rnacentral:rRNA from 1 species
CCCUUAGAUGUUCUGGGCCGCACGCGCGCUACACUGAUGCAUUCAACGAGCCUAUCCUUGACCGACAGGUCCGGGUAAUCUUUGAAUCUGCAUCGUGACGGGGAUAGAUUAUUGCAAUUAUUAAUCUUCAACGAGGAAUGCCUAGUAGGCGCUAGUCAUCAGCUUGCGUCGAUUACGUCCCUGCCCUUUGUACACACCGCCCGUCGCUCCUACCGAUUGGGUGUGCUGGUGAAAUGUUCGGAUCGGCCGUUUGUCGCGGUUUCCGCGGCUCGUGGCUGAGAAGUUCAUUAAACCCUCCCACCUAGAGGAAGGAGAAGUCGUAACA